rnacentral:lncRNA from 1 species
AUUCAAUAAAAUAUUUUAUUCUCUUAUAAACAGAAAUUUUGGAGUUAUGCGUAAAUACUUUUUGUAACGUAAAAACAAAAUAAAUUCAUUCAUACUGUAGCACAAUAAACUAUUAAAUUUACAAUAUCCAGUGGGCCCACAAUAACUAGAAUUAAAGAAGCUGUGAACCUACAGUUUGGAAGACGCAAUCCAUUGAAAAUCCCCGAUGGAACCAGCUAUCUACAAACUACUCUGAUCUUGAAAUGGGUGGAAAUGAGGGUGGUGAGAUUAUAAAAUCCCAGUGGGUAAACAAACACCAUUUAAAUCAGCUAAAGUCGAGUAAAAGGAGACAAUUAAAAUAUCCCAUCAUUUUAAGUAUUUCACAAUUUGAAAAUUCAUCCCAACCCAUGCAAACGGUUGUAUUUCAUUUAAUUUCCCAUUAGGGCUUAUUACUUUCAUAAACAGUUGGCUCAUGCCACCAAAUAUACUCGAUGACACCUUGAUCAGAGGAGUACACUCAAGCCUGCUAAGGCUGUUAAAAUUUUGUAUACUCGUAAAACAUAUUUUUAGUUUGAAAAACACAGCCAUUCCUUGACGUUAGCGGAGUUCAUCAUCACGAGGUGGCUCGUCGUGACGUGAACUCUGUCCAUACCUUAGGAGAUACCCUACGCGUCUCUCCGAUCGAGGUACAUAUAUAUAUCCGGAUUUUGUGCCCCUCUAAUAGGCUGGUCCACAGAAUCCUCCUACUGCAGCAAGCUAAACCCACUAUACAAUAAAAUUUUAACAGCAUGACAGGGCUAAUAUUUUACUACCCAGCCUGCGAGGGUAAAAUAAAAUAAUUCAUACAAUUCAUAAAACAAAGCCCAACCAGUCAUGCCAACACAAUAACAAUAUAACAUAAGCCAUCAAUUUCCAAUCAUAAAUUUGCAACAUGCCAAUGGUCUCCAAUUACUCUAUUUUCAAAAUCGUUAUUUCGUUUCAAGACAAUUUAUAAAAUCUUUUCAUUUAAACACAUUUUUGUUUGCAAAACCUAAACUUAGCCAUUUAACUCAUUUUCAUAAAAUUUCACCAAAACCGAGUUAAAACAUACUUUAGAUAAUUAAAAUGAUGAUAAGGUUACUCAUAAUGUCUAGAGUGGGGAUUUUCGAAAUACUCAGACUACUGAUCCUCGGAUGCAAUUCUCUUGCCUUUAUCGGAGGACUCACCACCUUGACACAGUACAAAAUCAAGAAAUUCACCACAUUGGUACUAAAUUGAAAUUAAACUAAUUUAGACUACUAAUGCAUGAUAUGGAACGCAAAAGGUCUAAAAUUUGCCUAAACACCGUAUUGACCUUUUUCGGUCUUUUACCCGAUAAAUUGAAAUACGCAUCCAAUUUAGCUCCAAUUGAUCCCAUUUCUUUUUCUAAUGCUUCAAAUCAGCAAUGUUCAACCAAAUAACCAAAAAAUCAGCAAAGCCACAUUCAUAUUCCUUCUUGGAAAAAUUCGGCCAAAAUGGUGCAUCAUUGUCAUAAUUUUUCCUACUUGAUUUUCUUUCCAUGAUUCAUUAAUUUCCAUAUCAAAAACCAUGAUUUCAUAAUCAAAUAACCUAAAAUAACAUCACAUUCUUCCUCACCAUUGACUUGAAAAUUCAGCUAAGGCUAGGUAAUGGGAAAAAUGAAUGUUUUUCUACAUAUUUUGUUUACUAACAUGCUAAACUAACACUAAACACUAACAUAUAUCAAAAUCAAAUCAAUCCAACAAUUUUCUCUCUCUAGACCCAUAUGACCAGCCAUGAAAUCACCAUGAAAACAUGCAAUUUAAUCAUGGAAAAUAAGGAGAAAUGCUUAGGAAUAAGAAAACUCAAGCUUAAUAGAAAAAUCUUACCUUUUUCACUUAAUUUCCUUGAAAAUUCACACUUUUUCUUUGAUUUUCUCUCUCUAUGGUUUGGUUUUUAUUUUCUCUCUCUUCUUGCUGGUUUG